rnacentral:lncRNA from 1 species
GGGCGAGACCUGCCGCCUCCGAAAGAGAAGGAUAUGCGAGAUUCGAGCAGUCAACCUUUGGAGCCAAGUGACCGAUCAAAGCCUUGUGACAUCACUGUCAGUGUGUUUGCAAAAAUCUUUAACUAUGUGACCAGUUCAUCACAACACAACAGCUGCCGUUGCAAUUACAACGCCACACCAGUCAACGGUAGAGUAACAGACGAACUGGUUAUAAAAGCGACACCAACGGCCAACGGUUGAAUGAAAGUGGGCGCAACUGGCUCCCAUAGAAUCUGUAUAUCUGUGCGGGUCUGGAGUUCCAGUAGGUCAUGCCCCAGACUACUGUGGUUUGCAUUAUUUACGGGAAGGGCCCAUCAUGCAAGAGCUGCCAGCCCUGGCAAAUCACCUUACCUUCACAGCAUGACAGUGGAAUGACUGCAUGCUUGAUGAUACUCAGUACAGCUGUUUGAAUGAAGAUGUUUGAACUUGACUGAAAGUGGGUGCAUCUCUUUAAGACCUGAGAAAAGAAGCAAAACAAACGAAAAGAUUCCACCACUGCAAUUUGGGUAGUGAAGGAUUCUGCAUUAGGCUACCCCUCGGCAUACGCAACUGGACAUUUCUACUUGUGAACAACUCAAGCAACUACCUUCACUGAGAUUUAUUCAUUUUAUUGUCAAAAUAUGUUGAAGUGUCACAGAUAAAGUUAUGCAAACAAGCACUCA